GAUGAACGCUGGCGGCGUGCCUAAUACAUGCAAGUCGAGCGAACAGACGAGGAGCUUGCUCCUCUGACGUUAGCAGCGGACGGGUGAGUAACACGUGGAUAACCUACCUAUAAGACUGGGAUAACUUCGGGAAACCGGAGCUAAUACCGGAUAAUAUAUUGAACCGCAUGGUUCAAUAGUGAAAGACGGUUUUGCUGUCACUUAUAGAUGGAUCCGCGCCGCAUUAGCUAGUUGGUAAGGUAACGGCUUACCAAGGCAACGAUUCGUAGCCGACCUGAGAGGGUGAUCGGCCACACUGGAACUGAGACACGGUCCAGACUCCUACGGGAGGCAGCAGUAGGGAAUCUUCCGCAAUGGGCGAAAGCCUGACGGAGCCACGCCGCGUGAGUGAUGAAGGUCUUCGGAUCGUAAAACUCUGUUAGUUGGGAAGAACAAAUGUGUGAGUAACUAUGCCCGUCUUGACGGUACCUACUCAGAAAGCCACGGCUAACUACGUG
rnacentral:rRNA from 1 species